GAAACGAGGAGUCACGGCCUCCACCUGGGUCUCUCAUACAAUACGGGUGGCAGAGGUCCACGGAGUUGGGCCAUCUUUCGGUAGCCUUUCCAGUUCCCUUCCAUGAACACCACCACCUCACCAGUGGGCAGUUCAGGUAGACGUGUCCCUGCCACUCCUCUCAGAUGGAGCUCCUGACUGCUGGCCACAAGACCCAGCCAAGGCUCCUCUGGAUACUUAAGACAAACAGCAAGUGGGAAAGCUUUAUGGAAAGAAUUAAACAAUACAUUUAUCCCUUGGUAUCCACAAGUGGAAGGUUCCAAGGACCAGCCAUCCAACUCCUAAAUGCCAAAAUCCACAGCUGCUCAAG